rnacentral:rRNA from 1 species
CGGUGGUUAUAGCGGAGGGGAAACGCCCGGUCUCAUUCCGAACCCGGAAGCUAAGCCCUCCAGCGCCGAUGGUACUGCACUCGGGAGGGUGUGGGAGAGUAGGACGCCGCCGGACU